GACGAACGCUGGCGGCGUGCUUAACACAUGCAAGUCGAACGAGUGGCGAACGGGUGAGUAAUACGUUGUUAACCUGCCCUCCUUUUUGGGAUAAGCCUUUGAAACGGGGUCUAAUACCGAAUAAAGGGGGUUGGGCUCGCGGCCUAUCAGCUUGUUGGUGGGGUGAUGGCUACCAAGGCGUGACGGGUAGCCGGCCUGAGAGGGUGACCGGCGACCUUGGGAUUGAGAUACGGCGCAGACUCCUACGGGAGGCAGCAGUGGGGGGUAAUGCACAAUGGGCGAAAGCCUGAUGCAGCAGCGCCGCGUUGAGGAUGACACUUUUCGGAGCGUAAACUCCUUUUGUUAGGGAAGCGGUACCUAACGAAUAAGCACCGGCUAACUCCGUGCCAGCAGCCGCGGUAAUAC
rnacentral:rRNA from 1 species